UACAAACUCAUCAGAUUUAAAGUUUUUUUUUGUAAUCACAUAUGUAAAGUAAAAAAAUAGAUUUGUUGUUUUUAGGUUUAAAAGUUAAAUGGGUUUUAAAACCUAAUUUUGAACUUGUGUUCACAGCGAAACACGUAGACUCCAAACUAAGAGCGGGAAACAAAGAAGCCACAGACGAAGAACUGGAGAAGAUGUUGGACAAGAUCAUGAUCAUCUUUAGAUUCAUCUACGGGAAAGAUGUUUUUGAGGCCUUUUAUAAAAAGGAUUUGGC